GAGCGGAAACGAGUUAUCUGAACCUUCGGGGAACGAUAACGGCGUCGAGCGGCGGACGGGUGAGUAAUGCCUAGGAAAUUGCCUUGAUGUGGGGGAUAACCAUUGGAAACGAUGGCUAAUACCGCAUGAUGCCUACGGGCCAAAGAGGGGGACCUUCGGGCCUCUCGCGUCAAGAUAUGCCUAGGUGGGAUUAGCUAGUUGGUGAGGUAAUGGCUCACCAAGGCGACGAUCCCUAGCUGGUCUGAGAGGAUGAUCAGCCACACUGGAACUGAGACACGGUCCAGACUCCUACGGGAGGCAGCAGUGGGGAAUAUUGCACAAUGGGGCGCAAGCCUGAUGCAGCCAUGCCGCGUGUAUGAAGAAGGCCUUCGGGUUGUAAAGUACUUUCAGCAGUGAGGAAGGGGGUGUCGUUAAUAGCGGCAUCUCUUGACGUUAGCUGCAGAAGA
rnacentral:rRNA from 2 species